rnacentral:ncRNA from 1 species
ACAGACCUCGCGAAAGAGACCGUCCAGCUGUCAUGGGCGGCGCCGAAGGCGCAAAUCCGCCCGGAAUCGCUCAGGCACCAAGGAUUGCGUGGUCUGC